CGGUUUUCAAAAUAAGUGGCAGCAGCGUACCAGAUGGUGAUGGAGGAAGUGAGGAUGGACUCAGUGAGACUCAGUCUACAGACCCAGCCGCAAGCUUUGAUUGGUCAGUGACCUGUGACCUAAGCCACCUCAUUGAUAAAAACAGCAGCACAAGCUCUGUUCGUUCUCUUCUUCCUCUCUUCCUCUCUUCCUUCUUCCGGACGGACCCACAGGCAACAGCGGCCUCCCAGUUUGGCCUCCUCAGACCAGACCAAGCAGACCUCUCGGCUGCAAUACAAGGUCCAGCAACCAGUUAACUCUGAGGAGAACAGACAGUGGCCAGACCCUCUCAUCUGAAUCACGACCCAUUAAAGAUUGCAUCUAAACUAUUCUUCACCACCUGGCUCCAUCCACAACGGACCUGUCAGGUGACAAUCAUCAGUUAUAGACGUUCCAUUUCCAACAGCAUUCCAACUUGAGGUGGUGGUGUCUAAAUGUCACUACUUUGUGUUUUGGCUGGAGUUAAAUGCCGUCUUUCGUGGUAAUAAUUAGCUCCCCUGUGUUAUGUUGAUGGAGUGUUGAUCUCCUGUCAGGUAACUUUCUGACUAACCUGUAACAAUAACUGGUGGGUUUUCUGAAGGAUCUCUGCACAGGGUAGUGGGUUACAAUAAUUACUGCAUCUCUAUAUAUUUGCCUAAAAGCUGAGACAAUGCAAGGGUCUGUCUAGUAGGGCUGACUGGACCUAAAGGUUGAC